UUUUUCCAUCUACAUUUCUACCUUUACUUCUUUUUUUUUAAAUCUCUCAUUCCAGAAUCUCCGUGUGACGUGGUGUGACAUUUUGUUCAACCUAAUUUACAGCUAUGAACCAGAGUUUAAAUGACAUGACCAAGGAUGAGGACUAUGGCAGAAAUUUCACAGCAGCUCUACGAGAAUUAUGUACUGAACACAAGGAUACCCAAAGGGAAAGUGAAACAAUUCUACUGGGUAGAAUUAAGAAAACUUCAGCAAUCCAGAGAGAUGCCUCAAACAUCUGUACUACAAAGGGACCGAUCUGACCUGAGAAAUGACAAUCAGUGAUGAGACACUCAUUGUGAAAGAAUAAUCUGCUGUGUUGGAAUCUCUUGCUCCCCUUCCUGCUUCUCAUUUGAAGAUGAUAAGCGCAGCAUCUGAUGGGAGGCCCGGGGAGGUCUCCACAUACAAGCCAGCUUGCAAAGCAAAAUGGGUAAGAUAACCUGAUGGGCUGUUUAAGCAGGGCUGGAUAAGCAUGGCUGCAUCAUGCCCCUUGCAGUUAGAGAUUUAUGAGAAAGGUGAUUCUGAAAGGUCAAGAUAAUCUCUGCCUGGAUAGGAUGUAAGACUCCAUUUGGCCUUGCAAGUAGUUAGCUGCCCACGUGGUUUGGUUCCGGAGGCUGUGAGGCUGACAUUUGCUGCCCUAAACAACCUGUCAUUCUUUUUUAAGAUUGAGGAAGGUCUUCUGGAGCCCCCUAGGAAAAUAAUGAACCCGAGAAGCAUUACCUCAAACCCUUCUACAUAGUAUGACAUUUUACCAUUUAACUCUUUAGUAAGGAUUAGCAGGGAUAAGACACAAAAUAAUCACUUUAAGACUGGCAGGAAGCCUCCUUAGAGAAACUUCCCUAUUUCAAUUUGGUUGAGGCUUUCUGCCCUUUUCCUGGUGGGGCAAAGCCAGGGACACACAGCACCCUGCAAUCUAAUUUUCGGUGACUCAGCUUUGCAGCCUGAUCUGCCAAAGGGAGCCUGGCUGAGACCCGUUCUUUGUCCCCAGGCC
rnacentral:lncRNA from 1 species